GAUGAACGCUGGCGGCGUGCCUAAUACAUGCAAGUCGAACGCGAGAGGAGGGAGCUUGCUCCCUCUGAUCGAGUGGCGGACGGGUGAGUAACACGUAGGCAACCUGCCCAUCAGCCGGAGAUAACUGCGGGAAACCGUGGCUAAUACCGGAUAAUCCUCCCCGCCGCGGGGUGGGGAGUUGAAAGACGGUUUCGGCUGUCGCCGAUGGAUGGGCCUGCGGGGCAUUAGCUGGUUGGCGGGGUAACGGCCCACCAAGGCAACGAUGCGUAGCCGACCUGAGAGUGUGAUCGGCCACACUGGGACUGAGACACGGCCCAGACUCCUACGGGAGGCAGCAGUAGGGAAUCUUCCGCAAUGGACGCAAGUCUGACGGAGCAACGCCGCGUGAGUGAAGAAGGGUUUCGGCUCGUAAAACUCUGUUGUUAAGGAAGAACGCCAGGUAGAGCAACUGCUACCUGUGUGACGGUACUUAACCAGAAAGCCACGGCUAACUACGUGCCAGCCGCCGCAGUAA
rnacentral:rRNA from 1 species